CAAAAGAUAGUUUAAUUGAAAAUGCUGGUUUUGGGGGCCAGUGAUGGCGUAUUUGCCUCCUUUGA
rnacentral:tRNA from 1 species